UAACGGCGGCCGUAACGAUAACGGUCCUAAGGUAGCGAAAUUCCUUGUCGGGUAAGUUCCGACCUGCACGAAUGGCAUAACGACUUCCCCACUGUCUCGGAGAGGCCCUCAGCGAAGUAGCACUAGGGGUGAAGAUACCCUUUACCCGCGGCAGGACGGAAAGACCCCGUGAACCUUUACUGUAACUUGGCACUGAUUUUCGGGUUAGCUUGCGUAGGAUAGGUGGGAGGCUAUGAAGCCGGGAUUCCGGUCUCGGCAGAGCCAACCUUGAAAUACCACCCCUGGCUAACCUAAAAAUACUAACUCGCUUCCGUAAUCCGGAAGGAGGACAAUGCCUGGUGGGCAGUUUGACUGGGGCGGGUCGCCUCCCCAAAAAAGUAAACGGAGGCGCGCGAAGGUUCCCUCAGCCUGAUUGGAAACCAGGCGCAG
rnacentral:rRNA from 1 species